rnacentral:misc_RNA from 1 species
UCCGGCUUAUCACCGGCAGUCCCCUUAGAGUGCCCAACUAAAUGAUGGCAACUAAGGGCGAGGGUUGCACUCGUUGCGGGACUUAACCCAACAUCUCACGACACGAGCUGACGACAGCCAUGCAGCACCUGUCUCCGGUCCAGCCGAACUGAAGGGCUCCAUCUCUGGUGCCCGCGACCGGGAUGUCAAAGGUUGGUAAGGUUCUGCGCGUUGCUUCGAAUUGAACCACAUGCUCCACCGCUUGUGCGGAGCGUGUGGUUUAAUUCGAUGCGACGCGAAGAACCUUACCUGGGUUUGACAUGCACGUGAUAGGGAGGGGAAACCUGACCGACCUUCGGGAGCGUGCACAGGUGCUGCAUGGCUGUCG